rfam:Betaproteobacteria bacterium RIFCSPLOWO2_12_FTLL_62_13 rifcsplowo2_12_scaffold_10178, whole genome shotgun sequence.
UUGUUUUGUCGCGCCGAUUUGAUAUCAGCUUGCGGGCGCGUAAUAAAUCCGGCUAAAGAGAUGCCGCAGGACUCUCA